rnacentral:rRNA from 1 species
GGUUGCGAUCAUACCAGCACUAAUGCACCGGAUCCCAUCAGAACUCCCCAGUUAAGCGUGCUUAGGCGAGAGUAGUACUAGGAUGGGUGACCCCCUGGGAAGUCCUCGUGUUGCAACCCC